rnacentral:rRNA from 1 species
UACGAAGGGGGCUAGCGUUGCUCGGAAUCACUGGGCGUAAAGCGCACGUAGGCGGACUUUUAAGUCGGAGGUGAAAUCCUGGAGCUCAACUCCAGAACUGCCUUUGAUACUGGCGAGCUUGAGUUCGGGAGAGGUGAGUGGAACUGCGAGUGUAGAGGUGAAAUUCGUAGAUAUUCGCAAGAACACCAGUGGCGAAGGCGGCUCACUGGCCCGGUACUGACGCUGAGGUGCGAAAGCGUGGGGAGCAAACAGG